UUACUAAAUUCAGAACCAUUCACCCAUAUGAUAAAGCAUCAGUAAAUUAACCUCAACCUGAGGAGUUAGGCUGUUGGUUGCUGUGAUUUCCAUUUUUGCGGUUUUUUAUCAUGAAAACUUCAGUGUGCUUGUUAGUAUCGGCACAUAAUAGAUCCUUAAGCCAAUGCUGACCUUUGUCCAUGAAGGAAGAGGGACAUCCAGCAACAUUCUGCAACAUCCUUAAUCCUUAUCUUCCCGACGUACGCUCAUUUAGCUUCACUGCUUUUGCUGCUACAACUUGUCUUACUUCACCGACGAGUUGGAACACUUCAGUGGUCGCUACCCUUUGCUGUUACACACCUGCAGUUACUCACCACGGGAUUAUGCCCAGGUAAUGCAGAGGAAAUGUCGAGAAGAUGGACACCAUAAAGUCGCCGGUAUCUCCAA